rnacentral:rRNA from 1 species
AGGACGAACGCUGGCGGCGUGCUUAACACAUGCAAGUCGAGCGGUAAGGCCCUUUCGGGGGUACACGAGCGGCGAACGGGUGAGUAACACGUGAGCAAUCUGCCCUUCACUUCGGGAUAAGCCUCGGAAACGGGGUCUAAUACCGGAUAUGACCGCGCUACGCAUGUGGUGUGGUGGAAAGUUCUGGCGGUGGAGGAUGAGCUCGCGGCCUAUCAGCUUGUUGGUGGGGUAAUGGCCUACCAAGGCUUCGACAGGUAGCCGGCCUGAGAGGGUGACCGGCCACGACUGGGACUGAGACACGGCCCAGACUCCUACGGGAGGCAGCAGUGGGGAAUAUUGGACAAUGGGCGAAAGCCUGAUCCAGCAACGCCGCGUGAGGAUGACGGCCUUCGGGUUGUAAGCCUCUUCAGCGCGACGAAGCGAGAGUGACGGUAGGCGCGAGAAGAAGCACCGGCCAACGUACGUGCCAGCGAGCCGCGGUAACUCGUGGAGCCGGGCGUAGGCGAA